UCUCUCUCCACGUGAUGGUCCCACUCAUCCAGGGUCAGCUGCAGCCCUACCAGAAAGCCAGCAUCUUCCCAGCUGCCCUAAGGAACUGGUUUUCAGCCAGUGAGUGCUGAGCAGGGCCUGAAGCCAGAUCUGCCCUCCAGUGCUGGGCCAUUUACUCUCCUUGGGGACUUGCCCAGCCAUCUGAUUACCUCUCACGAUCAUACCUGCUGUUCUGGCCACCUGGUCUCGGGCUUCCUCUCCUCUAGGCCUCUCUGGCAUCCUGAGGCUCCUGCUGUGAGAGCUGAGUCUGUUCUAUAGCCGCGACAUGAGUGGAGAGUCUCCUGUACGACCUGCUGCGCUCCCCGUGGCUGCAGGCUCUGCUGAAGGUCUACGGCUGCCUCCAGGAAUUUAGAGAAAAGAAACCAGUUCCUACCACACUCUGUGCACAGCAGUUAUCCUGGGAGGUGGGUGAUUCUACUCCACACAGCAGUGGAGCUCCGAUGGACACCACAUUACCUGCAGUGCUUGCUGAAGUCACCUAUAACACUGUGGUGGAAGUUUGGCGAUUAUGCUUGUUAAGUUUUUAAGUUCAGCUUUAAUGUAAAGAAGAAAACUGUUUGGCUGUCUCCCUGGGUUAACACCCCCCACACUCUCACAUAGUUUUAGCGUGUGUCCAUUUCUCUCUUGUCCCCCGACCUUUAUACUCAGUUCACCCUGUGUAAACAGGAUAACAGCACAGAUAAUAGUGAUUCUGCAGUCUUUAUCUCUAGUCUGAAACUCUUCCCUGAGUUCCAGUCUCCACUGCCCAGCUGCCUCUGCCGUACCUUAGCGGGAUACUUCAAGGACCCUUCAGACUUUCCCUGCCCCAAGCUGGCCUGCCAGUGCCCCAAGCCUGCUCUUCUCACAGCCUUUCCCUGCAGCACUUGUUCCUCCUCCCUUUACUGUUUUAACCAAAAAGAAGAACUUAGGAGAGCCCCAACCCAAGUCAGGAAAGAGGGUCCUCAGGAAAGGGGCCCCACAACCAAGCUUUCUUGUUUCUCUGGUCACACCUAUACCCCGCUGCUGCAGCUUACCACUCCCCUCUAGCAGCCCUCCGUGGAUGACCCUGGCCACCAGGAUGUCCUGUCAUCUCGUGGCGCUUGAUGGUAGCUCCCUGGAGAGAGAACACAAUGGGGUCCCGGACAGAACACUCAUGUCCACCACCUGGGAGGGACCUCCCCGCUCCCUGUGCUUCUCAGCCACACCUCAGAGAGGAGAGGCCCUUUGACCUAGGCCUCUUGAGCUUCUGGUGACCUCACAGAAACAUGUAUUCACACGCUCCCAAAGGCAAAGAGGCCUCCCAAAUUACAUCCCAGCUUGUAGGACCACUCUAGAAAACCAAACUGAUGCCUUACUUAGCUUCCCAUCAAUAAAAGAGAAA
ensembl:lncRNA